CAACAGUGAGUGAGGUCAUCAACAGGUAGAGUGAGGUCAUCAGCAGGUAGAGUGAGGUCAUCAGCAGGUAGAGUGAGGUCAUCAACGGGUAGAGUGAGGUCAUCAACGGGUAGAGUGAGGUCAUCAGCAGGUAGAGUGAGGUCAUCAGCGGGUAGAGUGAGGUCAUCAGCAGGUAGAGUGAGGUCAUCAACGGGUGGAGUGAGGUCAUCAGCAGGUAGAGUGAGGUCAUCAGCAAGUAGAGUGAGGUCAUCAACGGGUAGAGUGAGGUCAUCAGCAGGUACAGUGAGGUCAUCAACAGGUAGAGUGAGGUCAUCAGCAGGUAGAGUGAGGUCAUCAGCAGGUAGAGUGAGGUCAUUAACAGGUAGAGUGAGGUCAUCAGCAGGUAGAGUGAGGUCAUUAACAGGUAGAGUGAGGUCAUUAACAGGUAGAGUGAGGUCAUCAGCAGGUAGAGUGAGGUCAUCAGCAGGUAGAGUGAGGUCAUCAGCAGGUACAGUGAGGUCAUCAACAAAAAAUCUUUAAGUUAGAUUAAUUUAGUUCAUUUUAAUCUUAAAUUAAUUUACAAUAUAACUUAAAUGAACAGGCAGAUCCGCAAUAAGGCAUCUCGUGGAGCGCACUGGCAGAAGCGGCGCUCGUCGGCUGCUCGUAUCCACCCGUCCAUGCCGAGGAUCACCGUGGCGGCGGACACAAAACACGACUCGCUCGGCGACGCCGACUUCUUCGUCUCCUGGGGGUCAACAGUGAGAGGAGUCUUCAUCCCCGCACUGCAACACACAUUCAAGUCUCCAGACUUAGAGCAGCUCUACCAGCAGUUUUCAUCUGGUCAGAGAAGAACCUCGCUGGUCGUCACCAACGUGAUCGACAUCGUCACCAGACUCUUCAUCCUGUUGCUAACAUGGCCGCCGGGCUGGUGGGGCGUGGCCUGUGAUUGGCUGGCUGCCUUAUCGGUCGUCCUGUGGGCGGGAAUCUGCUUCCUGUCGCUGACCAAGAAGACGGUGAUGUCGUCGCCGCAGUGGCUGAGGUACCUGUCUGUGGUCAGCUGGCUGUCUCAGGCUCUGCAGGUGUUGGUGGGUGUGUUCAGUUGGGCGGAGAGCGAUCACUCCUGGUACGUCUUCUUCUCUCUGUUCUCCACCUACACCCUGCUGCCCCUCCCCCUCCUCUGGUCCAUCGUCGCCGGGGCAACCACCUCCUCCUUGCACCUGCUGCUGGAUGUCUGCUGUCACUACGGCGACCACACCUUUUUCAGAAAGGUGUUGUCGAAGGCGCUCUUGUACCUGGCCAUGAACACCGCCGGUCUGUUCAUUCACUACCUGUCAGACCGGACUCAGAGACAGGCCUUCCUGGAGACCAGACGCUGUAUCGAGGGACGAGUCCGACUGGAGCGAGAGAACCAGAGACAGGAACGUCUGGUGAUGUCCAUCCUGCCUCGAUUUCUGGUUCUAGAGAUGAUCGCUGACAUGGCCCCCAUAGAUGAAUAUCUGCUGCCUCAGCAGUUCCAAAAGAUCUACAUCCAUCACUACAAAGACGUCAGCAUUCUGUUUGCGGAUAUUAUCGGCUUCACCUCUUUGUCGCUGAUUCUUUCGGCUCAAGAACUCGUUAAAACUCUCAAUGAACUCUUUGGUCGCUUCGAUAGGCUGGCAGAGGAGCACCAGUGUCUGCGCAUUAAGAUCCUGGGGGACUGUUAUUAUUGUGUCUCUGGAGUACCGGAGCCCCAGAGGGGGCAUGCCCGCUGCUGCGUGGAGAUGGGUCUCAGUAUGAUCAACACCAUACGUUACGUCCGUCGGGAGUUGCAGCAGGACGUGGACAUGAGGAUCGGCGUCCAUUCGGGUUCGGUCCUCUGCGGUGUUCUGGGUCUUCAGAAGUGGCAGUUUGACAUCUGGAGCUGGGACGUGGACAUUGCCAACAGCCUGGAGGCCGCAGGAGUGCCGGGGCGGAUUCAUAUCUCGCGGGCCACAAUGGACUCUCUCGGCGGGAUCUACGAGACGGACGCGGGGCACGGCCAGGAACGCAGCGAGUUUCUAAGGAAACACAACAUCGACACCUACCUGAUCCGCCCGGCGCCGCGGGAGGAGGCGGAGCCACCGAGAGCGAGGCGUCCAAGUUACGACGAGAUGACGACAUGGAGCGCCGAGCUGCCAUUCGGAGACAUCCUGGGAAUGAACUUUAUCCUCGCCACCUUCACGAACGGAUCGUUAACUCAGCUGCCCAAUCAGAUCGCAGCGCAGCGGUCAGGAUCGCGGGAGGUCAACAAGAGGAUCUGUCAGGCCAUGGAGGUCCGGAGCAGCGAGCGGAUGAGGAAGGAGCAUAUCACAACGUUCACUCAGGUGUUCAAGGACUCCAACAUGGAGGGAAAGUACUCCCAAAUGAGAGACGAACUCUUCAAGUCCAACAUGGUGUGUUCGUUCAUCCUGCUGCUGCUGCUGAUGGCUGUCCAGGCACUGAUCCCUGCCCCACGAUUUUGUCCGAUGGCUGCUCAGUUCUUGAUCAGCGGCAGCGUUUACUUCCUGCUCCUGCUGCUCACUCUGGGGGAGGAGCUUAAGCGUUGCCCCGCCCCCCUGCAGUCUCUCUGCUGCUGGGUUCACGAAACCAAACCCGCCAGGACGAUGCUCACGCUCACCGCCAUCGCCGUCAACUUCGGAGUCGCCUCCUCAGACAUUCUGUGGUGCGAUUCGUCAGACACUCACAACAGCAGCGACUCCCAGCUGGCUCCGCCCACCUCCACCUGGUCGGACAUCAACAUCUGCACACAUCCAGAGUACAUGGUGCUGAGUGGUGUGGUUGCCAUGGUUACCUGCGCAGUGUUCCUCAGGUUGAGUUGCGUGUUGAAGCUGGUCGUCCUCCUGCUGGCCGCCGCCCUCUACACCUACCUCAUAGAGACGCACAGGUCUCAUCACUUGUGUAAGAAGGGCAUUUGCGUCGUUCUCAUGGUGAUGUUUGUGGUAGCCGUCCUCUACAACAGCAGACACCUGGAGGCGACGGCGCGGCUGGACUUCCUGUGGCGACUCCAGGCGAGGAAGGAGGUGGAGGACAUGAGGGAGCUGAGGGAGCACAACGAGUGUCUGCUGCUCAACAUCCUGCCGGCACACGUCGCCCAGCACUUCCUGGACAGAGACCGCCACGACGAGGAGUUGUACUCGCAGUCGUACGAGCGAGUCGGCGUCCUCUUCGCCUCCCUGCCGGGUUUCUCUGACUUCUACGAGCAGAAGGAGGUCGUUCAUCAGCCCGUUGAAUGUCUCCGCCUCCUCAACCACAUCAUCACCGACUUCGAUGAGCUGCUGGAUGAAUGUUACUUCCAGGAAGUGGAGAAGAUUAAAACCAUCGGCAGUUCGUAUAUGGCAGCUUCUGGUCUCUCUCCUGACAGACAGGAGUGCGAGGAUGGCUGGCAUCACCUCAGCGUGUUGGUGCUGUUCGCUCUCGCCAUGCAGGAAACGCUCAAACACAUCAACACGCACACAGGAAACAGCUUCCAGCUGCGAGUCGGUAUCGCUCAUGGGCCGGUGAUUGCCGGCGUGAUCGGCGCCACCAAACCUCAGUACGACAUCUGGGGGACGACGGUGAACAUGGCGAGCCGGAUGGAGAGCACCGGCAUCAGCGGGAGGAUCCAGGUCCCAGAGUCCACCAGCUGCAUCCUGGUGGAGCGAGGCUUCCUACGGCAGCUCAGAGGGAACAUUUACCUCAAAGGCAUCAGUGAACGCCACGGAAAGGUUCGUACGUUUUUCGUGAGCAGUCGCGAGGAGCGGUCCAGUUUCACGGAGCGCGGCGGUGGGCGGGGCUUCAGUCUGAACAGGAACACGCUGGGAGCUGUGGUCUACAGUCUGGUUCAGGCCCGGAAGAGGGAGAAACGGAUGGAGGAGAACGGAGGGUUCCACCUGGUGGAGGCGUCGUAGGAGGAGGCCAGGUGUCAGCCUCCUAUCAGAAUGUCCUCUUCCGUGGUUUGGAUUCAAAAAACAAGAAAGCUUUAUUUAAAAUCUAGAAGAAGUUUCCCGACUGCAUAUGCUUCAAAAGAGAAAUUUAAUUUUAGUGGAUGUGGUCUUGCAGCCAGUGAACGGCAGCGGCGUCUGUAGGCCGUAGAUUUAAUACACCCACGAACUGACGCAGCUAUCACUUUGGACUCCUGGACCAUGAACAUGUGACUUCAAUCAAAUCUUUAAAUUCAGCCUCAGAGAGUCUAUUGAUUACCGAUAUUGAUUACCAUGGGAUCUUCUUCACUGUCACAUGCUGGGGCAGUGGGCUGAGGGUCGCAGACAACAACAGACUAAACAAACUGAUCAGGAGGGCCGGUGAUGUCGUGGGGGAGGAGCUGGACACCCUGACGACCGUGGCAGAGAGGAGGAUGCUGUCCAGGCUUCAGUCCAUCUUGAACAAUGUCUCUCACCCUCUCUACGACACACUGGCCCAGCAGAGGAGCACCUUCAGCAGAAGACUCCUCUCACCCAGAUGCACCACAGAGCGCCACAGGAAAUCAUUCCUGCCUGUGGUCAUUAAACGCCUCCUGUACUCUGAUUGAAUCCUAACAUUAUUAAACUGUACAGUUUACCUUUUAUAUAUGAUUCUGAUUCCGAUUCUGAUAAACAGGAAGAACCCCGUAAACUCACUGAUUUUCUAACCUUUUUAGAAAUAAUUUAAAUAAUUGAGAAACUAGACCUUAAAAUUAACAUUUAAAUGUCCUUAAAAUGUUCUUUCAAUGUUUAAAAUAUUCCAGGUUAUCACCAACAGAUGAGCUGAGGGAGCUCUGUGCACUCAGAGACAGCGAUUGAAUCAAUCAAAGAGUUCAACAGUAAAACUAAAACCUCUCAGUAUGGGAGCUUGAUCAGCUGCUCACUGUGUGUUUUUAUGUUAAUAACUAAUCACAGAGGCUGAUAAAGUCCGUCAGCUGCUGCUGCUUUUAUUUUCUCACAGUCUGCUUUCAUCUUUAGACCCCUGAAACCUUAAAAAACACAUUGAAUGAACCUCCAGGAGAACAGGAGCUUCUGCUCUUGUAAGACAACUUGUUUGUUUCGUUAGAAAUUUCGAUUUUUAAUGCAAACAUUAUCAUUUCCA